GAUGAACGCUAGCUACAGGCUUAACACAUGCAAGUCGAGGGGAAACGGCAUUGAGUGCUUGCACUCUUUGGACGUCGACCGGCGCACGGGUGAGUAACGCGUAUCCAACCUUCCCAUUACUGUGGGAUAACCUGCCGAAAGGCAGACUAAUACCGCAUAGUCUUCGAUGACGGCAUCAGAUUUGAAGUAAAGAUUUAUCGGUAAUGGAUGGGGAUGCGUCUGAUUAGCUUGUUGGCGGGGUAACGGCCCACCAAGGCUACGAUCAGUAGGGGUUCUGAGAGGAAGGUCCCCCACAUUGGAACUGAGACACGGUCCAAACUCCUACGGGAGGCAGCAGUGAGGAAUAUUGGUCAAUGGACGGAAGUCUGAACCAGCCAAGUAGCGUGCAGGAUGACGGCCCUAUGGGUUGUAAACUGCUUUUGUAUGGGGAGAAAGUUAGGGACGUGUCCCUAUUUGCAGGUACCAUACGAAUAAGGACCGGCUAAUUCCGUG
rnacentral:rRNA from 1 species